rnacentral:lncRNA from 1 species
GGGUUUGUAACUUCAGAAUUAACGGCAGAAGUUUAUGUGUUUUAAUGUACAGAUGGCAAAAUUUGAGUGGAGAUGUACUACCAUGUAAUGAUUCGGCCUAACCAAUUCUCCAUUUAAAUUGAUUGUACCUAUCCUUGUGGGAUAAUAAAAAUGGAAGAUCAAGGAUUUACAAAAAACGAGAUUUAUAAAAAAAAGAUUGGUUAGCGGAGAAGAAAAAGGGGGGGGGGGUCGAACUAGGUGUAUGUAAUCUAAUCGCUAUAAGACAACUCUUGUCCAUGUUUCGAAGAAUGGAUUCUUGAAUCCCAUUGAGUCUAAGAUACAAUAUUUGGUUUACGGUAUGGGGGAAAGGCAUGUACAUGUGAUAUUAGAUAUUAACUAGGUAUAUAUGAACGAAAGAUAUAUCUAAUUUGUCCUAAUUUAGAUAGGGAUUCCAAUGGAAGUCCUUCCGUUUUGUUUGUAAUUGUGAAUUGAAUAUUGAAUGAAUUUAAAUCACGAAAAAGAACAAAUAAUGGUUCGAAAAAAAAAAAAAUGAAAUGUAAGAAAAGAAUAAAAGUCGUACAGAUUCACAAAAACUCCGUGGGUAGGAACUCAAAAAGAGAUAUCGCAGUCGUUCUGCGGAUUCAAUAAUAUUAUUAAUUAUUAUUUCAAUAUUGAAAUAUUGAAAUUCGGGGUUCUAGUUAGUUUAACUGGAUUGAUCUUAGCGACGGAAUAAUUAAGUCAUAAUUCAUUGGUUGAUUGUAUCAUUAACUAUAUUUUUUUUUUUGGGGUGUGAGGAACUUAACAUGAAUCCAUUGAUUUAUGCCGCUUCCGUUAUUGCUACUGGGUUGGCUGUCGGGCUUGCUUCUAUUGGACCUGGGGUUGGUCAAGGUACUGUUGCGGGACAGGCUGUAGAAGGGAUCGCGAGACAACCAGAGGCGGAGGGAAAAAUCCGAGGUACUUUAUUGCUUAGUCUAGCUUUUAUGGAAGCUUUAACAAUUUAUGGACUGGUUGUCGCAUUAGCUCUUUUAUUUGCGAAUCCCUUUGUUUAAUCCAAAAAUACAUAUUUCUAUUUUCUUGGAUUUGCUGCUCUUGUUUUUUCGCAUUAUAUUAAGAUUUAACUCCUACAAUUAAAUUACUUAGGGACAACAACCCCCGGAAAGAGCUGAUUUGAGGAUGAGGAAUUCGCACUCCAACCCGCUUUCUUCCUUUACCUUCUUCCACUCAGUAAAGCCAACUGGUGGUACUGUAUCACAAUGAAAAAUAAUAGCCACUUAUACUACGGUUUUUAAAAUUAACAUAACUCCUCAUUUUAGUUUUUGAAAUUUAAAAUCGAUGAAAAUGGUUCUAAUUUGUUCACAUCAAUUAUUUUGUUAAAAAAUCUCCGUUGAAUAAAAAUAAAAUGACAUAAAUACCCUUUAUUUUUGUCAAUAAUUUUAGGCAUUGAAUAGAUUAAGGGUAAGUUUGUCAUUUAGACUAACAUUGUUCUUUAAUACUGUGGCUAAAUUUUAAGGAUGGAAGAAGAAAAAUUAUUUUUGGUUUAGAACCUAAAAUUUUUAGACAAAAUUUAAGUUUCAAUUCUAACCAUUAAUGUUGGUCUAAAUAGUACUUGUUGGGAGAGGAGAUCAGUACAAAUCUAACUUGUGUGCAUAAAUAUGAUUGUUUUCUGCCGCUACAACCAUCUACAACUUUAGAGCCAAUUUUUUUUCUUUCUUGGAGAAUAGAUUUGUCAUGUGAUGACAUGUGAUGAACUUAAAAAAUCUGGAGUAUCAUGUGUGUUCCGUGAGCACCAAGAUUUAAAAAAACGUUAGGCGCUAGUUGGGCCGCGGACAAGGGUCUAGCGCCUAGGCCGAUAGAAUGGCCUAGACGGAUUUAUGUAAAUCUAUGGUAUAUCUUGUAAAUACGUGACUAUUUAAUCUUAAAAAAAAAAAAAACUAGACUUGUAUGGAUAAUAAAAAAAAUGAUAAAAUGCAAAAAUAGAAGUAGAAUAAUACACAAAGUAUGUACAUCUAACAAGUUCAAUAUGUAAAAAACAGUAAGCACGUAAUUAUGAUAAGCAGUAUUAUUGGAUGAUAGACUAAAUUCUUCUUGUUCAUGAUCCUUGCAUUGGAUUGGAUAUAGACUAAAUUAUUUAAUCUUGUUGUAUCUAGUUUGUUCUUGAUCCAUUUCCAUAGUAUACCACCAUGAAACAGAAAGAAAAAAAAACACAAAUAAUAAUAAUAAAAAAAAAACAAAUCGCCUAGGACCGCCUAUGCGCUGCUUAGGACCACCUAGCUCCAGACCAAUUUUUCAAAACAAUUUGCACUAAAUUGCGGCGGGCCUUCAUCGCCUAGGCCGGUUUUUAGAACACUAGUGAGCACACUAGAAAGUCCAUGCAUUGGUUUCAAUAUGGAGAAUUUCCAUUUUUUUACUAAAGUCAAAUUGAUUGAUAAGAGAAUUCUUUAAGACCAUCUUCAACCCUUGCGUUAAAACCUAACAUUUUUAGCCCAAAAAAUGUAGGUUUUAACCCAAAAACAGUUUUUUGCUCUAACCUUUAUGGGUUAAAAUUUUAGCCACAGAUCAUUAAAGAAUGAAUUUAAGUUAUUUUUAAAGUAAUUUUUUUAAAGAAAAAAUUAUGUAGACUAUCCUAUUUUAAUUUUAUGAAUAUUUUAAUCUAAAAAUAUUUAGAUUCCAACAAAUAUUGAAAAAUCACUAACCAACACCAAGAAACUCGUGAAAUACUAUGAAAUAAUAUGAAACACAUAAAAGAAAUAUAUAUAUACAAUGGACCAACCCCACUAACCCAGGGGAAUCUUGGGCUAAAUUUGGCCUGGAAAUGAGUUUUGAGUUCAUAUUUGCCCUAAAGGUUGAAGCAAGUUAAUAUAUGUUUAGAAUUUAAAAUUUGAUUUUUACUCUAAAUGUUGGAGUAGGUGUUUUUAAAAGAAGCAUUAAAAAAAAAUACUUUUCAAUAAUUAAAAACACUUUUUAAAAAUAUUUUUAAAUAAUUGUACGCAUUUACUGCUUCUUAAGGAAAAUAUUUGAAACAAAAACAUUUUCGGCAAGCGAUUUCAGCACUUAAAUAACUCUUCCGAAACAGAUUCUCUCUCACUGCUCGACAAAAGAAAUAGACUUUCUCCGACUCUCUCAGUUACUCUCUCUCGGCGAUGGAAUGAAGCCCUAGCUCUGCCACCUCCAACCUUUUCACCUCUCGAUGCAGCACCUUCCUUGCAUUUUUUAAUCGCCCUCCGAGUCGGAUCCGCCUCGUCCCCUUCACACUGUUCGUUCAUUGUAUAAACCUCGAUUCCUAUUUCAGUUUCUCUUCUUCGAGGCGCUUUUUUGCUUUUCGAAUUUUUACAAUUUUUUAUAUAUCAAUCAAUUUUUUCCAGGUUUACCGUUCCAGAGACUGCCCCUUUCGCUGCCGUGCUGAAAUUCGCUGCUAAGGAAUUCAAAGUAUGUAAUUUGCUAAUUGAUUAUUUGAGUAUUAUUUGAAAUUUGGGAUUGGUUGGUUUUUUUUAUCGGGCAUUGAUCAGAUUAGGGUUCUUGGUUUCUGGGAAGGGGAAAUCCUUUUUUAUAUUUCACAUUAUUAUACUUUCAGAAGUUUCUGCUUUUUCAUUUAUUGUUAAUAGAAUUAUUCUUUAUGCUUUGAGUGUGAAAAUAGAAGUCUGUAUCGAAACUCGAAGAGAAUUUGAAUAUUUGAUCAAUUUGGGGACAAAAGUUUUCUUCCAGCUUUUAGUUUUACAGCUAAUAAGUCAUUUUCCUAACUAUUUGUAUAUUUUGUGAUGAUUGUUGGCCUUAAUAUCGCAUAGUUGGUUUAUGGAGUAUUAACUAUAUUAGAAAAUAUUUACUAUUGGAAGCAUACGGGUUCUUGUGGGAUUUCGUAUAUUUAUUAAGGUUCCUAUGGAGAUUCCUGUGGAGUUAGCUUAAUGUGAAUGCCUCUAACUUACAUAUGGACAUUAUAUAAUUGUCAAUUAUUUAAAAAGUUGAGCAUCUGGUUGAAGUGUAAUAGAAAAAUUUUGAGGAUUAUAACAGAGUGGGAAUAGAUGAACUAUGGGAUAAAUUUAGAUACUGGGCAGCCUUUGAGCAUCGGUUUUGAAUGAGUUCAGGGAUUUCUCAUUCUUCUUAAUGAUUGAUGUGUUAGUAGCUGUAAGUUUUGUUUUAUAAAUGAGUACUUUUUGAGAGGUCUGGUGUAGUACUAUAGGUUCGCUUUUAGUUGCCGAGAAAAUGCUAGGAAAAUUUAGUUUCUGUUAUCCUAUAUUUUACUUGUCGAGUUCAACGAACAUUUUUGUGAUACUUACUGUCAAUUGUAAUGUCAAUUUUGUUUCUUUAUUAUCCUGGGUUUUGAAAUUUGAGCCUUUUUUUUCAUUCUUGUUGACAUGUUAGUUUUGUUUAAUUUCAUUGUUGGGGUUUUAGGGGGAAUUAGAGAAUCGAUUAUUUCACCUACUUGUAUUUUAAUUUUAAUUUCUCUGAAUUUUGAGAAAUCUUCCAGAGAAGUUGUUUGUCUCGGCAACCAAGCAGAGAAUUAGGCUUGCCAUCUAAUGGCUUUGAAGCAGUUACGUGUUGUUGGAAUGCUAGAAAUGGAGAAAUUUCAACUGAUCCAAUUAUCUGCAAUCAGCGAAAUAUGAUGGCGUUAGUUUGAUAGUAGAAUAUAUUUGAAGAACAAUUCAUAAUUGCAUAUUUCAAUUUGGGAUUCUCGAUUUGUCCCGAAAUUCCGAAAAUAUUUCGGAAUUCUCGAAAAUUUGGUUUGGGAUUGGUCUUCAAUUUUCUGUCCCGAAAAAUUUCGGUUUGAGAUUCGAGAUACUAGUUUCAGUUCGGUAUCCCAUAUUGAACCAGCCCUAGAUAUUCAUAUUCCUGUUUUUGUUAAUCAAUAAGAGAUUCUGUAUAUUUAAGACUUAAAGUUUACAAGUGAAAAAUGAAUUUGAGAUUCUCUUUAGUGUUUAGACUUGAAUUUUUACAGGUAAGUGAUGAAUUUGAGAUUCUUUUUAAGAGUCAAAUGUCCCGCUCAUAUUGUUUCUUCCAUAAAUUCUAAAUCUCUUACUGUAAGCUCCUAAUACCCGUGUCUUGGUCUUCCCUUAGGGUACUUUCUCCCAAGUGGAGCUCCGUUCCUUCUUUAGACAUUCCCAGAGGCUGAAGAAGCCAAGAAUCACUGCUACUGAAACUGAAAGUUUCCUAAAAUCCCAAAAAAAGUAUGAUGGAAGAAACAGGCAGAGCAAUGGUCGUCUCACGCCCUUCAAUACUUUCAUCAGGUUCCGCCCGAGCAGAUUUAUGCUGCUAUAGCGGUCUUGCUAUUCACCUCAUUCUUACUUUUGUUGGGUACGUACUCUUGUAAUAUAUUUUUUUAAUUUAUUUUCAAAAGAGUCCACAGUAAUAUAUAUUUUCUUUAUCUCUGUGUUGUAGUAAGGUUUAAACGCCCAAAAGCUAAUAAGCGGGCAUAGUGGCUGUGGGAAGAUUGUUCUUUUCUAUCAAGUAAGCUUUGAGAUUAUUGGAUUUUGUUCUUCUAAACAUUAUACGAAUCACUUUUGUAGACUCAAUAGUUGAUCCAAUUUUCUAAAUCAUUCAUUAGAGUGACUAAUGUCACACUUAGUCUUUAAUAUGUAAUGCAAACGAAAUUUAUCUAGACCAUAUGACUCUGGUUAUUUUCUCUAUGUCAAUUAGAAACUUGAUCGGGUUGGUCCUGUGCUGAUGUUGUAUCCCUAUCUUUUUUCUGAUAUAAUUUGGAAGUCUAUGUCUGUUUGAGAUAAUUUGUUGUUUAAUGCUUGGAAAAUAAUAUAUAUAGAAAUUCUAAAUGCCUUUUAUUAAGUAUGUCCAUCUUUCCCUGUUUCAAGUUACUUUGGUGAUCUAUUUAUGCCUUAGAAAUGUUCAUCUAACUUUUAUGCCAUGAUUUGAUGCACAUGCCAGCUUCGGGAUGGCUCUUCACAUCAAGGUACUGUCACUUCCAUGGAACCAAAUGAUGGAUAUUUUGUGCUCCAUUCGGAAAAUUCAAAGGUAUAUUUCAGCCUCUUGUGCUCAUAUGCAAAUAACUAUGUUCAAACAAUAUUGCUUGUCUUGUUAAGUGAGGGCAGAGUUUAACUUAUCUGUUUGCUUUUGAUAUGUAGAAGACAUUAGCCACAUGAUCAUUUUCUUCCCUUUCUUUUGUACUGUUGUUUUUGUUGAUUGUCAACUUGAUCAUGCUUACCCGUCUAUUGGUUUUUAAUGACAGGGUGGAAAGGAAAAUCAUGUUCAUCUUAUCGAUGUUCCUGGGCAUUCUCGCCUUAGAGCCCAACUAGAUGAUUUUCUGCCUCAAGCAGCUGGGAUAGUAUUUAUGGUUGAUGCUUUGGAGUUCUUACCUAAUUGUCGUGCUGCUUCUGAGUGAGAUUUCCUCUUUCCAGUAUAAAAGCUACAAUAUGAUAUUGAAAAAUGGCUACUCUGUUCGUGGCACUUUAUUUGCUAUGAAUUGAAAGGUCCGAAUGACCAACUCUGCAAUCAGUUGUUAGAAUCAAUAGGUCUUCAAAUCGUUCAUUUGAAAAAAUUGAAACCCUUCUUAUUGGAUGAUCAUGAUACUUCCCAAAAAUCAAAAUUCUUGAUCAACGGAGGAACAAUAUCACCAUUUUUGUUCAAUAAGAUACCAAAGUGGAUGAUUGACUCAUUCCAUACUAGAAAAUAAUCGCAGGAAAUCUUUUGAUAACAUGGAUUCCUAUUUCUCAAUGAUAUCCCACGAUCCUAUAUGAUAUUUUGACUAAGGCAACUGUGGUGAGGAAGAAAAUUCCAGUUCUUAUUCUCUACAACAAGACAGACAAAGUAACAGCACAUAUCAAGGAAUUUAUUCGGAAACAACUGGAGAAAGAAAUGUAAGAUUUGAACUCUUGUAAUUAUAGGUUUCUUUUCUCUGAUUGAUUAUAAUGUUUUACUCGAACUUUUCAAUUCCGUGUGGGACUAAAUUAACUGGUAGUUAUAUGCACUCGUAAAUCAUUUCCUGCAUCUUCAUUUUUUUUAUGAGAAAUAUCCAUUGUCUUCAUGGUUUCCGAGGAAGAUAAUUCCUUCUGAUCAACAUCUAUGUUUUCCAUAAGUACAUCGGUUGGACUUUAAACUGUUUCGCUGUGAUUUUCUAACUUUCGUCGAUGAUGCAUUGAAGACAAAAUUUUCCAUACAAUUCUCUGUUGGUUUUGUUUUGUAAAGUGUUCAUUCGCCGACAGGUAUGGUGAUUUGCAUUCAUUAUUCUGUUUCUGCUUCAUAAAUCUAUUUUAUUGUUCAUUGUUCUGAUACAUUUGACAUAUAACAUCCUACAGCGAGAAGUUACGGGCAUCAAGAAGUGCAAUAUCAGCAGCUGAUAUUGCAAACGACUUUACCCUUGGAGUACCUGGCGAAGUAUUUUCGUUCUCUCAUUGCCAGAACAAAGUUACAGUUGCAGAAGCAUCUGGUCUAACGGGUGAAAUAUCUCGGGUGGAGCAGUUUGUGAGGGAGCAUGUGAAAUCUUAGGAUGUGUCAUCUCCCCCAUUUGAUGAAUUUGUGAUACUUUUUCUUUGAGGUUGGGUUGAACAUUGUCUCUUGAUGAUUGAAAAAAAACUGACUUGAUGUGCAAACUGGGUUCAACUAUUUUUUCCAAGGAAAGUGAAGGGAGGAUGGAAGGAAUUCAACAGAAGGGAAGAGAGAGCAAUGAACAAAUAGAUUCAUGAGACGUAAUACCGACGACUGUUUAUGGUUGAUUUAUUGUGCUUAAAUUGACUGAUUAUGAUGCACGGCUCAACUUGUGCUUAAAUUGUUUCGUUGAUUCUCAUACUGUAUUUGCACGUUGUCGAAAUCAGCUCAGCUCGUCGGAAAUCCAGCAUAGUUUUGCCUUUGCUGUUGUUUCCGACCACCAUUUCACGGUUUUGGAUUUCAAAAGAGCCAUUGAUAUGUUAUGCGUUCGUUUUAAACCAUACACGAGUGAGUAUAGUAAGGAUUUCAGCCUAAAGUGUCGAUAAACUCUUACAAUAUUUUCUCCGGUCCUUCAACUUAACCCCAUGUUGCACGAGUGAAGUUUGCCUUAUCUUCUAUCGAAUCCCUCACUUGUAUGGAAAGGACCACUCGUGCAACGCCAAAUCCCUCACCCUCAUGGAAUUCAAAUAUCUCGUCCAUCUAAGGAGUCCAAUUCUUCCAAUUCAAGAGUUUGGAUUUCUUAUUUUGCGUGGGCACCGCCAUUCUAUUGAUUUCUUCAAAGUUAAUAAUCGCUUUACUAUUAUGUAAUCAAAUUUUAACUCCUUGUUUCAAUUAUGAUUACGUAAAAUCAUCAUAAAAGGUUUAGGGACAAAAACUAAACUCGAGUAAAGUUUAGGGACAUUUGUCACAAUUUUUUUUUUAGUAGAACAAUAUAUUUUACACAAAGAUGAUGGGGAAUUCGGCUAACUGUACAACGGACAACCUAAUUUGGUAUUGAAUUCGCCAUCUACGAGAAUCGAAACUAAGAUCUCUCACUUAAUAGUAAAGAGAAAUAUCACUAAACCGUAGUACUAAGUAACUUUGUCAUAAUUCAAGCUAUUAACAAAUAACUAAAAGAAAAAGGCAAAACAACCUACUUGUAAGUUGGUUUAGGAGUUGAGGAGAAUGAGUAAUGCUAUUCAUACCAUGUUUUUAUACCACAUUUCUAUACCAGCUUAGAUAGCAUCUGAUGCGAACAACUAUAUCAUUUGAAAAAUUUGCGAAACCCAAGAAAAUGAAAGACUCUUCGUAUACAAUAAUCGUCAUUUAAUUAACUAGUUUUUCUUAAUUAUAAAUUUAUUAAAUAAUGAACUAAAUUUAUUUUUAAUUAAUUCAAAUGAUAUGACUAUUCAUAUUAAAUAUCACUUAAGAUAGUAUGAAAAUAUGGUACAAAAAUAUGAUACGAAUAAAUAACUCGAGAAGAAGCGGGUAAGAGGAUGAUGGAUGGAUGGAUGGAUGGAUGGGAUCAGUCGGUCACGGGCCUAGUUACGUUGCGUUUGCGUGUAUUAGACAUAGUCAACGGAUGUAAAGUAAAAGGAGUGAAUGAAUCCCAUUGGCCACUGGGCAUUGGUGGGGCCCACGUACCGGCAGCCGGUGGUGGGUUCGCUUCGGGAUGGGGCCGUCCCUGACCACAGACCACCACGUAGUAAUAUAAUAUUAUAUAUAGAAUUCACGGGCGCUACAACCCUUCUUGCUUGCAUGCAUGACAUGUUGAUUCUUUCUUGAUCCAGACAAAAGCAAGUCUGUAACAGCAACCACUAGAAUUAGAUGAGAUGAAACGAGAGCCACAAAUUAAGAAACCUAAUCAUUCACAAGCUUGAAUUAAUUAAGGUCCAACGCCAAUGAACAUCAUCUUACCUCUCUUUCUGUCUGUCUGUUUGUUUGUCCCUCGUUCAUCCUCCGCCACAGAAAAUAUUCACUCCUUCCAUGCCAUCAUUUUCAUUUCUUUUCCCCUUCAAAUUUCAAUGGACAGGGAAAUGUGGAGGAAGGGGAACUUUCUACUUGCGCUACUGCAUAUGGAGUGGCAAAUCAGUUUAUUGGGUUAUUAAUGGGUACUUAUUAAGAUUCAUUUACUUUAAUAUCGUCAUAAAAUUUAGACGAUAUUAGUAAUUGUGAUGAUAGUGUAAGGUGAAAUUAAAUUAAAUAAACCAUAAUGUAAUCAUUAACAACUUAAUCCGGUUGAUUUGCCACCUUUUUUUGCAUAUGUAUAUGUCUAUUUUGGCGAAAUGAAAAACUCUUUAAAUUCGUAGUAUUUUGAAAGUAGACGAGAAGGACUUUUUAUUUUGUGAAAAUUAGAAGAGGAUUAAAGUCUUGAUAAAUAAAAAAAAAAAAAAAAAAAAGAGGAUUAAAGUCAUUAGUCUCAUUAUUGGUGAAGAAAACUUAUCCCAUUUAAUUGAAAUAUGACUCUAUGGAUUCCUUUCAUUUGGAUCCUCAAAAUCCUUCAAUCUUGUACGUUCACAUGAAAAUCGAACGUCUAGGAAUUAAUUAAUUUUUCUUUUGCUUUUUAAGUUUUAACCAAAAACAAUGUACAAGUCUUUUCACUUUCUCCCGUCCAUUGAUUGAUGGUUGUUCGAUUUUCAUGUGAACGGAACAAAUAUGAUUGAAGGAUAAUGGAGGAUUUGAAUGGAAGGGAUUCGGAGAUAACCAUAUUCCCCUCUAAUUAUCUCAUAUAAAAAGGAUUGGGAUGAUUGUAAUGUUUCUUUUUAAGUAAUUUAUCUCCUAUCUUAAAAUUAACUACAAAAUUUUCAUUGCUUUUUUAACAUAACUUACAAAACGAAGCCAUAGGGAUAAAUCCUACCAGUACGUAGGGUAUAAUAUGAUUUCAUCUCAGCCACAAAUUCAAGGGCCAACGGGGCCACUGGUUUAUGUCUUUGCUCAAGUCCCUAGCUAAGCUAGGGGUCCUAUACUCCUACUCCUACACAUAAUUACAAAUUGAUGCGGUGGGCACUUACUCUAAUCUCCCUUACUUAAUUACCUAAUUAAACAUGAAUUUCAUCAAUUAGCAGCAGGGUUCUUAGAGUAACAAAACAAAACAAAAAACAGAAUAGUAGAUAGCAAUCAUCUUAAUUUCAAUUUUCAACCCCCUCGAAAGCCAUUUUUGUUUUGUUUUAGUUAAUUAAUUAGCAUUUCAAGUUUAAGAAAAUUAUUAAUAAUAUUUCUCCAGAAAUAAAGGCUUUGAUUAUUAGGUUACCAGCUGGAUGUAAAGUGUUAACACAGCAUUAUCGCAUGGUCCCAAGGAUAUGCGAUCGCUAGCAUACAAAUACGAUGUCGUAUAAUGUAGAAACAAAACAAACUUUCAUAUAUAUAUAUAUAUAUAUAUAUAUAUAUAUAUAUAGAUAUAUUAUAUACACACACUUGUAUUCACUUACCAAAGCCACGUGAACUUUCUGCAAUUCUGCAUAUGCAACUUUCCAGGACAAAAAUCAAAACAGAAACAUAAAGCUUAUGUUGGAGAGAUUUUCCUCCGUGCAUGGACCAUCGGCAUAUCUCAUAUGUCAUUGUGUAAUUGGAACGACACUCAAAAGAAAAACUUAUCUCUACUUGAAUAAUGAUAUAUGGUGUAUUAUCAUAUAUUUCGAGCACAUUGAAAAUCUCUCUUUAUAAUGAGCUACAUGUAAAUGAAUAUUAUAGAAAUAAAUUCUAAAAUGUCCAAUCAAUCGAGGUUCAAAUGAGAUAAAGCUUAUCUUAAGUUAUAUAAUUAUGAUAACUCUCACACUAAAUACGAUCCACAUUUUAUUGAACCACAAGAAUAAGUACAUGAAGUUUCAUAGUUUUGUGAUAUAUACCUUGCCAAUGACGUGUUUGCCCGAAUAUUUUUUUCCACUAUCAUAUAUACAAUUAAUAGGAAUGUUAAUAAUCUAUUUGUUUACCUUUUCGGCUUGAAAGAUAAUCUCUACAAAUAUUAACUGAUAUUCGUAGCUAUUUAGUCAUAUAACAAUAUCUAGUAAAUAAAUAAAUUAUGUUUCUCACUUAAAAUUAAUGUUAAUCAAACGGUUGAAUAAUUUAUAUUUUGAUUGAACUUUCAGAGUUGAUCUUUAAAUUGUGAUCUAAAAAUUAGACAGUUCCAAUCCUCAUCUAACAUUGCUACAAAAAUAUUAAAAGAAUAACUAAGAAUGUCAAGUGAAAAGUUUGCUAGCAUCCUGUUUAAUUAAGGGUAAUGCUAAGCAGACAAAAUUUUAGAAACUAAUUAAAUGACGUGAAAGUUGAUGAUUGAUUUAUUACUUAAGCGUUGAUAAAUUUGCUCAUUCCUAUUGGUGACAUUGACAUAUUAUUUAAUUUGCAAAUUUAUCUUCGAAUUUAGUCUCAUUAGCAUUACCUUCUAAUUAAUCACUUUGCAAUACUCAUAUACUCAUAUCCUAUCCAUGUAUUUUACAGGUUAGAAGAGAAGGAAAAAAAACUGGAGGAAAAAUUAGAAAACAUAAAUUAGGAAAAAGAAACAACAAAGCAAUGUAGCAGCUAGCUGGAACCCUUGUUCACCCAAAAAAAUAAAAUAAAAUAAAACUGGAACCUUAUUUAGCACUGAGCUGAGCUUUGCAGAGACAAACAAGAAGUAAAGAAAAAACAGAGAGACAAACAAGAGAGAGAGCUCUUGAAAUCUUCAAUGAAGAAACAAGGCAGUGAGAUUGAGGCAGUAGGCAUCUCCUACAAGAUUAAUCACACACCCCACCGCAACUUCUUCAACAUCUUCAGCCAAAACAAACAACCUGCUUCUGCUUCUGCAUGUGCUGCAAAAGUAGCUGUAGUAGCAGUUGAAGAUGAUGGAAGAUCAUCGAGAGGAAGAGCAGGAGGAGUUGGUGGGCAAGAAGUCCUCAAGGACGUCAACUUGCGAGCAAGGCCAUGGGAGAUCCUCGCCAUUGUUGGUCCCAGUGGAGCUGGUAAAUCUUCCCUCCUUGAGAUUCUCGCCGGCAAGCUCACCCCGCACGGCGGUUCCGUUUUCGUCAACCAAAAGCCUCUCCGCCAACCCUACUUCAACAAGGUCUCCGGCUACGUCACCCAAAAGGACACAUUGUUUCCUUUGCUUACAGUCGAAGAAACCCUAAUGUUCAGUGCCAAGCUCAGGCUCAGGGUUUCUCCCCUUGAGCUCAGCUCCCGCGUCAAGGGCCUAAUCAACGAGCUCGGCCUCUCCCAUGUCUCCGCCGCCAGAGUCGGAGACGACAGAGUUCGGGGGAUCUCCGGCGGAGAGAGGCGGCGUGUCUCCAUUGGAGUCGACGUCAUCCACGACCCCGAAGUGCUCAUCCUCGACGAGCCCACUUCCGGGCUUGACAGCACCUCCGCCCUUCAGAUCAUCGACAUGCUCAAGACCAUGGCUGAGACCAGGGGCAGAACCAUCAUUCUGAGCAUUCAUCAGCCGGGAUUCAGAAUUGUGAAGCUCUUCAACUCAAUCCUUUUGCUGGCCAACGGCUCCGUCCUCCACCACGGCACCGUCGAUCAUCUCGGCCUCAACUUAAGGCUCAUGGGGUUGGAGCUCCCUCUUCAUGUCAACGUCGUCGAGUUUGCAAUCGACUCCAUCGAAACUAUUCAACAACAACAUCAAUCCACACCACACAAUAAUAUUCUUGUUCUUGAUCGUCAGAGUCGAACUGGUAAGCUGACUCUGCAGCAGCUGUUUCAACAAUCGAAAACUAAUAAUAGUAAUGCCGGUGGCGGAGGCGGAGGAGGAUUAGUGCCACUUGAAAUUGACGACGAUAAAAUCACCAAUAAUGAAGUUUUUCCCGAUUUGGAUUUUACUAAUUCGAGACUGCGAGAGACGAUGAUCCUGAGUCAUAGGUUCUCGAAGAACAUAUUCCGAACAAAGGAGCUGUUCGCAUGCCGGACAAUUCAGAUGCUCGUCUCCGGACUAGUUCUAGGCUCCAUCUUUUACGACCUCAAAGACGAUCUCACCGGAGCCGAGGAAAGGGUAGGUCUAUUCGCAUUCAUUUUAACGUUUUUGCUGUCGUGCACGACGGAAGCACUGCCGAUAUUUCUUCAAGAGAGGGAGAUUCUGAUGAAGGAGACUUGUUGCGGAAGCUACAGGGUCUCGUCUUACGCCAUCGCCAACGGAUUGGUUUACCUGCCCUUUCUACUAAUCCUAGCCGUCCUUUUCACUCUGCCACUGUACUGGCUGGUCGGACUCAACCCUAACUUCACGGCCUUCUUCCAUUUCUUGCUGUUGAUCUGGUUGAUAUUAUACACUGCGAAUUCCGUGGUGGUGUGUUUCAGUGCACUCGUGCCAAAUUUCAUCGUGGGAAACUCGGUCAUUGCCGGUGUCAUGGGGUCUUUCUUUCUGUUCUCCGGUUACUUCAUCUCCAAUCAUGAGAUUCCCGGGUACUGGAUUUUCAUGCACUACAUAUCGCUGUUCAAGUAUCCGUUCGAAGGGUUUCUGAUAAACGAGUUCUCAGGGUCGGACAAGUGCUUGGAGUAUUUCUUUGGGAGGUGUAUGGUGACGGGAGAAGAAGUUCUGAGAGAUGAAGGGUAUGGGGAGGAGAGCCGGUGGAGGAAUGUGGUGGUCAUGGUCUGCUUCGUCUUGUUUUACAGGUUUAUUUCUUAUGUCAUUCUUAGAUGUAGAUGUCGAUGCUCCCAGUCCCAAAGGGGCUUCAAACCUACUCCUCCAACCCUCACUGCAACUCCUUUUCUUUAACUAGUAAUUAUAUGAUUAUAUAUAUAUGAUGACUGUAUUAUUUUGUGCUCACACAUCCAUAUCUCUCUCUCUCUCUCUCUCUCUCUCUCCAUAUUUCUUUUUCUCUCUGAUCACGAGUGUGAUAUGGACGACGGUUCACAAUUCACAUGUCUUUGGAAUUUAGUACUUUGCGAUGAGAUGAGAUGAGAUAGCAUCCCGAGAAGAAAAUAUCGCUUCAUAAGAAACAAAAAUGAGGGAACGAUCCCAAGCUAACAAGUCUUCUUGUCCUGCAAGGAUUAGGAGAUGGACGUCUAUCGUAUACAGUCUUACUUUAGCUUUGCAAAGAGGUUGUUUCCACAACUCAAACCCAUGACUUUUUAGCCACAAAGGAGCAACAAAAUUAAGAAGCAAAAUAUGCAUAGAUCCUCUAACAAUUGUAAUAACAUCCAUUUGAAAAGUUGCCACGAAUAAAAAGCAACAAGGUGCCAAUAGCAUAAGCUGCAUAAACAACAAAACAUGCACGACUAGUUCCAACUUGCUACGAAUCGAAAAAAAUUCCUCAUUAUAUUAGCAGCAACUCUUACUGCAAUGGUACAAUACACAGUACAACAUUUUUCGUUGUAUGAAUAACACCUAUAUGAACAACUAGAAUUCGAUUCAACAGGAAAUGGAUUCGCAAUUGGUGCCUUACCUUAUAUUCUAUCAAACACUGAAACUUACAAAACAAAAGAAUUUCAUACCGGAUAAAACAAUUGGCCUUCUUAUCAGACCAUGAAGAAUAUCGGAUUUGGUGUAUACGACGUGGCAAGGCCGCCGCCGCCUCCUAUAUCUGUGCAACAAGGAGUUCAUUCCAUGCAUCUGGAAUUCCAGGUAAGCACCAGUGUAAGCAAUCACUUGUGCCUGCAUUUCCUUUUCCUCUAAUGGUAUAGUGGGAUAUGUGACCUUCAUCUCUCAAUUGAGAAAUGGCAGUUAUAUCCAGUAACUUUACUUUUGUACCUUUCAAAGCACCCUCGAUCACUGAAUCACUGGAUCCUUCCUGGACUACUUCACUUCCUCCGACCAACGGAGUAGUAUUGUCGCAGGUACCCCCAGUAUUCCAGUCACCAUUGAAGAAAUGCCUCGGUGAAAUUGUCCGAAAGAAAGCUUUUAGGCGGGGAUGUGAUGGUAGUUGUGAAUCAACCCACCUGGUAAUACUGUACACAGUAAAAUUUUUAGCAUUUCCAAUUUCUGCACGCAUCUUUUCUUGAUUGGGCUUUCCGUUUACAUGCAUUACCCACCGGUUACCAUUAAUCUUUCCCCUAUUCCAAUGAUGCCCUGUAUUAAGAACCAGCACAUCAAACCGAUGAAGGUAUUGUCUCAAGAAAGCCGGGGGACGAUCCAAAUGCAUGGCAAUAUCACUGGCUCGGUCUGAGAUGUUAAGGGGCACUAGAUCACACAGGCUUGCUGACCAAUAAUAUAAGAUAGUGGUAUUGGUGUUAGAGAAUCGAUAGGCCCAGCCAUCAGGACGAAUGGCUCCACGACGUUUGACAAGGCCAUAUUCCUUUCCGACAUUCUCAACUUCGGGGCUUUCUUCCCCGCCAGUUGCCAUACACAUCAAAGACUGGAACUGCUGUCUACCCAAUGAAUCUCCUAUGAAAGCAAUCGUUUUGUCCUGCAUCCUGAAAGGCACAUUCACAUUUAGAAGACUGACCACAGCAAGAUAAACCAUUUCUCUGUAUUGCACCAAAUCUCAAACUCGGGAGAACAGUGGUCCAUAUUGUUGAAAGGAUUUAGAAGUAAGAUCGUAUGAGAUGAUUCAUUCACGACUCGGAAUAUUCUAGACUUCUAGUUGAAAAGUUUAGGUGUGCUUCUAGUGGAAACCAAGCAAAAUUAUAUGGUUUCAGUCCAAAAUAUUAUGUACACAAAUCGAAGAGUAAGUUGAAGCUUUUCACGAGUUAACCAGGCAGGAAGCCCUUAAUUAGACAAUGACUGAGUUCUAUACCUGGGAAAAUGAUAGCCAACAUAAAUGCAAGUAUAAAAAAAUGAAAAAACAAUCAAAGCGUUUACUCAUCCAGUGGAAUUGUCUUUCAAAUGAAUGACAAGACCGCAAUUGGCAACUUCACAUCAAAAUUCAAAUAAGUUCAAACAGAAAAGAAUUACCUUCUCAAGAAUGCAGAGCGUUCAAAAUCUGGUAUUUCACAAUUUGCUGGCUUCCAUCGGUAACCCUCAAAAGAAAAAUCUGUUCGUUGUGUCAGUCUACACGCCCACAUUUCUGAUAACCACUGCUUACAUUUAAACCCAGAAUAUAAAGGGCGCCUGUUGUCCGCAACCCAUCUACCCUUGGCAUAAUUACACACUGCAGAGGUGAAAACUCCACAAGCUUAGGAAACAUUGAACCAUGAAGCAUGAGAUGAUAAAUCUGAGCAAUGGAAACCUUUCAACAUAGCAGAGAAACAGCGUAAACAACUCUAUAGUUGGAUAAGACUUUCCGGUGAAAAAAUACAUGCAUAAUGUAUUUAUAUUUAUGUGAACUUCAACAUAGUUUAAUUGAACAACUCUGCCAUUACUAUUGCAGUGAAUUAUUCAACGGGAGUCAAAAUUUAUAAGAGUCAACGACUCAAGUGACACAAAACAAGAGCAAACCACUGAAGUGAUGAAAACAAGAGUAAACCACUCAAGUGAUGCAAAACAAGAGUAAAUGACUCAAGUAAUGCAUGGCAAGAGUAAACGACUCAAGCGACAUAAAACUGAGAAUUCUGAUGUUCAAGAAAGUGCUAGGUUAAAAUUUGGUUCGGAACACUUUCACUCAAGUGUUUCUUAGAUCCUUCAUAUCAAACAAAUUCUUCAAUCUUCUCUUCAAUAGAAACAAUCCGAUAAGCAACAGGUAUUAUGCAAUUGAUGGCUUGACAUAACUUUAUGUCGUUCUACACCAUAACAUGAUAUGUUAAGUGUGAAAUCAUUUUUUCACUUGUCCGUGAAAUACAUGGUACUAUCUUUUAACUAUUUAUUUGUUUUUCUUUUUGCCUUUCUAAAAUUAGCGAAUGCAGCAGAUUUUUGUCUCCAUUCAUAAUAUCUCCAAGACCUCCUUCCGCCAAAGUUGAUUUGGUUAAAAUUAAAUGUAGCAGCAUUUUCCAUACAGAGAGAGAGAGAGAGAGAGAGAGAGAGAGAGCAUCUUUUAAUCAUGCAGUACCAAACCUCAAAUCAGAUCUCAUACUGUGGUAACAUAGGACCUCAUCAGAUAUCAGAUUACCACUUUAAAAGUAAAGCCAGUUUAUAUUUUGAAGAACUGGUUGUCAUUAAGAAGAGAAAAGUUUACUCUCGACUUUGUGCACAAAGAAAAAAGAAUAUGAAAGGAGAAAUUACUAUUUCACUUUUGGGGGAUCAUCAAUCCAUAAAACUGAUUCACAAACUGGUAAGGAAUAGGGUUGGCAUGUAUUCAACCAGUAAGACAAUCAAACAAGGCAAAGAAUAUAUAUCUUCAAGGACAUUAGCUGCCACAGGACAAGGUAUAUAAUAUUUACGUAAAUGUUAUGUGCCUAACCAGAUUUAGGUUCAGCCUGACCAGUUUCCAUAAACACCACCUAGAAUUUAAAUUUUCAACUAACAUCAAUAAGAAAACAAUCAUUCCAUGUCAAAUGAGCUAUUAGCGUGAAAUCAUCAUGGUAAACUGACCGCCAAACAAUGCUGUAUACAAUUAUUUUUUUAACAAGAAAUACAAUUCAGAGAGACAGAUUUAAUGUACUAUUCUAUUCUAUGGGACCCCUCAAUUGCAUAGUGUAGUCCAUGAGCAAUAGAACAAUAAGAUUACUGUAAUUACCUACAAAAGUUAACAAUAAUGAAGCUUACAGCCCUAUGAGAAAGGAAGCUAUACCUUUAGUUUGGAAAGAUGUCGCAUUCCCAUUACUUUCAUGCAUUCCAGGAGAGAAUGCAUACAUAGAAUCUAUUGGGGCUGUGCCAAACUUUUCUAUUACUUUUGUAUCUUCUGCCGUAUUCAAAUGUAAAUCCUUCCCUUCAAUAUUUCCAUUUGUCUUCAUAGGUUUGGAGGAAUUAUUUGAGAAGUCCCCAAAAAAAUCUGAAUAAAAAAUGAAAAACAUUCAUCAGCUGGCAGACAAAGAAGCAGGUAUAAGAUGAGGUCAGUCCUUUCAGCAUUGAAGACAAAGAUAGUAGAUCAUUUCAAAAGACAGUAAAACAACAAGGGAAGAACAUGAGUGGUCAAGAACAACACUAAAAAAAAAACACAAAAAAGUUACCAAAAAACUAAAACUAGACACAGCCAUCCAGACUAAAGAACUCCAGCCUGCCAGUUAAGCCAAUGUAGGAGAAAAGGAGAUGUGCUUAAACUCCUUAGAAACAGAAGCCCAAAAGGUUGACCAAAACUGAACUCCUUUCAGCACUGACUGAAGAGGCAGGCAAAACUAGUGAUAAAUAGCUGAAACAGCAGCUUUCAAACACUUAGCAAACAUUUUAGCAUUUACUAAUGAGGUCAACUAGUGAGCCUUAGAUCCUAAUUACUUCAACAGAUAAGAAAGUUAGCAAUUAAUAUAGCUUUCAAGAGUCGUUUGGUAAGCAAAUAACCACGAACCAUGUCAUUCUCAUAUCUUCAUUUGGCUUUUCCUUCAGCACUGACCAACUAGACAGGAAAAACAUUAUUUCAUCUCACCCUAAUUUGUGAUAUUUUCAUGCAAGCAAUAGUUAUCUACAUAUCCCGCAUAGCCACCAAAGUUCACCCAUCAUCCCAUCCUAAUUCUGACUUUUUUCUAUAAUAAACAAGCUUUUUGACAUUUAUUUUAUCCUUAUGGCAAUUUUACUUGUACAGAAAAUAAGUUUCUAAAAACCUGUGAGUUUCUCCAAAGAAUAGUCACUAGAGUACUAUAACAAUCAUGUCAUGUGCAGUCCAGCCAUUCAUUAUUAUAUAUCACAGCUGAAUCAUGGAUGAAAUAAACUAAAAACCGCACUCAGGUACUUCAUGGCCAUCACUUUUCUUGCGUAAUUUUAUUGUCAUAUGCAAUAAAAUAUUGUUUCCUCCUUAAAAAAAAUAGAGCAAUAGAAAUGCAAAAGAUGCUAGUAUGGGGAGUUACAUAGAUUAUCAAAAUUUAAAUAGGCAAUAUAAAUAGGUAAUGUUUUGGUACAGUUGCCUUCUCAUUUCUUAUAACUACUUUUUAAGCUUUCUGCAGACAAGGCAUCUUGUUUUCUUAAUGGUGCGGUAUCAUUUAAAGGUGUGAUCACUGAAAAACAUCACUAGAUGAUAGAUCAGAUUAAUUUUUCAUUCCCUUCUCACAUUAUCAGGAAAGUAUGGGAUUUUGAAGGACUGGACUAGGCAAGUAGAUUCAGUUCUUGAGAGCAGCUAUCGUCGUACCCAGUGCACAAGGCUCCCGCUUUACGCAGGGUCUGGGAGAGGUGAAUGUCGGCUAGCCUUACCCCCAUUUAUGAAGAGGCUGCUCCCAAAAAUUUUCAAAUAGGUCGUACCCAGUGCACAAGGCUCCCGCUUUACGCAGGGUCUGGGAGAGGUGAAUGUCGGCUAGCCUUACCCCCAUUUAUGGAGAGGCUGCUCCCAAGUCUCGAACCCGAGACCUACCGCUCAUGGACGAAGGCAGUUGCCAUCGCACCAAGUGCGACCUCUUGAGAGCAGCUAUGUUGUACAAAAAUGAAGUUAUAAGUUUCUAUGCCACUAUAGUUUGGCAAAUAGGCCGUGGCACAGGGGACUCAUGUUCAAAUUAAAGAAGAGAACCCAAGUCCAUGUUUCGAACAAAGUGUAGGCACAUAAAAACAUUUGGAAUGCUAUAGCAGGCACAAUACCAAUGGUAUUAACAUAAUACGGCAGGCAAUCUUGUCCCAAACAUUAAACUAGAUAUUUGUCCAAUUAAAAGAUCAGGGGUAAUAUACAUCUUAAACUAUUUACAAAUCCCAAGAGCAUUGUUCACCAUUUUCUCUAAGGUAAUAUCUAACAAAUUUUCAUGCACAUUUUAACCCUUAAUCGUAUCUUGUUAUUUUGUUGCAUAAAUGUACAAGAAAAUAUAAAAAACUUGAUUGGUAACAAAAAAGAGAAAAGAUAACAUGUAUUGAUGGGGAAACAAACCUAUGGAAGGCAUUGGAAACCGCUGGCGCGGCAAUAGUAGAGUAUCAGCAAAAGGAUUUUUCUCCCACGCCCAAAGUAAUAUUGUUGUGAAUAUAAGGGCAGCCAGAGUGAAAGAGAUUGGUUUCCCAAUCAAUUUGUAGUUAUAUCCCCCUUUCAUCUCAUAAGCAAAAGGCAAUUGCUCGAAGUUUUGAUAGCGGAACGCAAUCAGCUAAACUCCAUCAACCUUAAGCGUCUGAUCGUUUAAUUACAGGAGAGUUCAGCUGCACGCAAUGCAGAAAAUGGAGAAAAAUGAAAUAAAUAAAUAAUUGGAGGGAAGGGGAAUUAAAGUCACAGGAAGAAAUAAAACCCAGAAAAAUAAUUAAUUAACCAAGUUUUAUUUUAUUAAUUUUGGAGGGAAUGAAUUAACAAAGUAAUUAACUAAUUAGCAUAUAUUUGGUAAAAAAAAUCCUGUAUAAAAUAGUCCAAAAAAAGAAAAGAUAGAUACAGAUACAGAGAGGCACAGCAUGCACACUAUGAAACCAAAAGGUAACAGCAAUAAACGAAAUAUGAGAUGAACAGAUGGAAAAUUCAAACCCUAAUUAGAGGAACGGAAGCCAAAUCGAACCCUUAAUUUCCCAGAUUAAGGUAACGAUCCACUGGCACAGGUAAUUAACAGAAAACCGAAAAUAAAAGGAAUUGAACAUGAUAGAGAAGUCCGUAGUACUUGGUUUUAGAAAAAUGGAAAGAAAAAAAGAAGGAAAUAGGUGAAUCAGUACCUCCUCGUUGUGCUGGUUGAGGCUAUUUUUGCAGGCAAUGUGAGUCUGCGAAGCAUCUCUACCGACUACCAUUCAACAGAGAUCGCCACGGCAGACCACCACCGACCUUUUCCUUCCGAUUGAAAAGCUCGGCUAUCUCUCUCUCAGACUCUCACUCACUCUACCGUCAAAGGAAAUUCGAUUGCGGUAAGAGAAGAGUGUGAAUUAAUUAAUUUAGACGAUUUACGGGGAAGGGAAGAUGUAAGAGCAAAGCAAUCAAAGAGAGAGAGAUGACUGAAGAAAAAGAAAGGGAUCGCCGCACAUGGAUGGAGACACUUCGGGAUAUUUUUUUAAUAAAUUGAUACGGAUUAUUUGUCCAUAAUUCCAAUUAGCGCCACUUUAGGUGUAAUGUUAUAAUACAUAUCCUUUAGUUACGCGUUAGAAUUGAUUUUUCACAAGUUGUAUAAUUUUAAGGAAAAUAAUGAAAAUUUUGAAUUUUAACGGUAAAGAUAAAAUAAAUGAUAAAGUGAAUAGUAUCAGUAUUAAUUUUUUAGUGUAAAAAUGUGGGUUUUCGUUAAAAGUGAACAUUACCGGAAAUUUUUCGUUAAAGUUCUCAUAAAAAGCUUCUGAUACUGUUCAUUUUAACGAAAAAUCACAUUUUUACACUAAAAAGUCAAUAAGAUACUAUUUACUUUAUCCUUUAUUUUCUUAUUAUUGUUAAAACUCAAAGUUUUCAAACAUUUUUCAUUAGUUUUCCUUAUUUUUAUUCCAAUCACUUAUUUAUUUUUCGUGUAAUUGAUAAUUCAAUGCUACAUAUCUUUAAAGAAAAUCUCGCUAUAUUUGCUUGUUUGGUUUUUGUUUCGCUAUGUGUUCAUGGCGAUGUUUGAACCAGGAUAAUGGACAUAAUUAUCCAAUUUAAGUCAAUGAUCAUAAGAAAUAAAUGAAUAAUUAGUUUUCGGUCUCUAAUUUCUUAUAUUUAUUGAUGAAGACCUUAUCUUUUUUUAUUUUUUAAUUGGAAGCAAUGUAUUCAUUAAUCAAACUUAUAAAGAGUUACAAAUAUCUUAGAAUAGAAGCUCCUGAAUAAGAAUAGGAGGCUCCUCAAACCAAACUAAAUUAUUGCUACUAGACAAAACAAACUUAGCAAGCCGGUGUGCAACACCAUUACAUAAACUAGAGGCAUGAAUAAACCUCACCACAGGGAAAGUGGAAGCCAGAUGCAGUACAUCAUCUGCUAUCAUACCAAUCGUCAAUGAGUCUGACUUAGUCCGAUUGAGAGAAUUUUGAUCAAAGUCCCAAUAUUAAUAUAUUAAUGAAUUACAUGUAAGUUACAUAAUUUUUAUGAAAAAAAAAUAGUAAUUGAUUUAUAGUUUUAAUACUACACCCUUAUUAAACUCUAAAUAAUUUUGAAUUCAAACAUUUCCCAAAUAUAAAAAAUAAAAUUAGAAUAAGUUUGUACCUAUUAAAUUUUUAUAAAAAUAAUAAUUUUUUAAUCUUGUAUGUAUUCAUUCUUAGAUAUACCAAUUUAUUAAAAAUGUACCCUUUUUAAAUUUAAAUACCCAUUUUUUAUAUAAAAUUUCAUUCAAUCUUUUAUCUAAUCUAUUUUUUAAACUUAUAUAGGUACAUUCUAUUUUGUUGAUUUGAGAAUGUAUUCAUGUCAAGUUUAAUAGAAGAAAAUUAAUAAUGUUAUUCAGUCUUAUAUCUUUCUUUUUUUGUGCUUUUGAAAAAUGUACCCAUACUUUGGUACAAUAAAUUUUUUGUUAGUUUUGAUGAACGUACUCGUGUGUGUGUGUACGCACACAAUAUAUUGAAGAGUAUUGUAAACACGGAAAAUUCCUGAAACGAAAGAGACAAGAACAACGUGCACAAACAAAUAUUUGUAUUUAGAGGAUUUUGGGUUACAAUCUCUCUCUAUUUUGAUCCUCUGAUUCGAUCUCCGUAAGGUGUGUAUUUGAGGAUGUGUGAUUGAUCCAAAGGGCCGUUGGGCUUGAUCUAAGGAUGAACGUUCUUCAAGGGCCGUGGACUUGAUCUUGAAGGUGGAUUUGAGCGGAUCUUCAAAGGGGCUUUUGGGCUUGAUCUUUGAAGAACAGUGAUGAACGGAUCUCCAAGGGCUUUUGGGCUUGAUCUUGAAGAACAGUGAUGAACGGAUCUUCAAGGGCUUUUGGGCUUGAUCUUGAAGAACGGUUGGAUGUGUGGAUUUGUCGACGUUGUUAAUCCAAAAGGCCGUUGGGGCUUGAUCUUGGAUGAACGGAUGAUGAACGAUGCUGCUUUCUUCAAGGGCCGUCGGGGCUUGAUCUUGAAUUGGUGGAUGGUUGAUCCAAGGGCCGUCGGGGCUUGAUCUUGGAAGAACGAUGAACGAUGAACGAAGAACGAAGAACACUUUCUUCAAGGGCCGUCGGGGCUUGAUCUUGAAGGUGGAUUUGAUGAAGAACGAAAAGGGGUUUCUUGAUUCUUCGGAAACCUGGAUGCUUGAGAGCUUCGGAGUUUCAGAGCUUCAGAGCUUCAAGGUCUAAUAUGAAUUGGUCCCCUUUCAAUGAAUGAAAUAGGCUUGUAUUUAUAGAAUUUUCCAAGGUCUAAUUUCGAAUAUAAUAUUCCAGAUGAAAUAAGUCGUUUCUGCCAGGUGUUGACACGUGUCCUAUUUGAUGACUUUUCCAACUCAUUUCAAUUUUCGUUGAGUCACACGCUACGUGUAAAAUUUAUGUAAUACAUGAGCGUUGACACUUUGAUUUAUUGGUCAACAUUUAUUUACCGAAAUUUCGAUGUCUACAAGUAUAAUUCAUUUUUAAUAUUUUUAAUCCCAUAAAUUAUGGGUUUUAUUUAAAAUCUCAUUAAUAUAAAUAAUUACAAAUUUUAUUUUUAAUUUUAAAAUAUAAUAACUAACAUAAAAAUACAUUAUUGCAUUAAUGUCAGAGACUUCGAUAAAAAACUAAACCACUAAGGUUUCAGUCAAAUAAUUUAGAGACCACAUCCAAAGUGUCACUAAAAAAAAUAUUCUCACUAAGUGGGUUAGAAUUAUUCAAUUUUCAAGUCAAAUUAAUAAAUUAAACUUUGAAAAAAGAAAAACUCAAACAAGAAGUCAAAUUAAUAAAUUCAUGACGAUUAUAUACCUUAAAAAAUCUAACGGACUCAUAUACAAAAAGCCAUGCAAUAAGAAUAUGGGGAUGCAUAUUUAUGUCCGAAUGUUUUGGAAUAUAAUUCGGAUUUCCUACAUUUUAUAAGAAUUUAGAAGUUUUUAAACUUAUAUGUACCAGCGGAUCAAUGAUUUUUUUCUGAAUUUUUACCAUUUAUUUGUGUAUACGUCUAAUUAAUUUCUAGUAUAUAAGUAAGUUUACGAAUGUAUAUAACAUAAAAUCACAUUAAACAAGAUAAAAUUAUUUAUGUACUCCUCUUUUUUAGUAUAGAGUGCUAAAAAAUCUAAGUCCAAUUUACGCUCAUGAAGUCUUGAAAAAUUCACUUUUUUUUGUUACAAAAGUUUGGAAGAAUUUUUUAUUGUGUCCAGAACAAGACUCGGUACACAUGUUGUAAAUUGUAAUACAAAUAGAGGGACAUUGAAAUGUAUAUCUUCUUAUCACUUAUAACGUGUAACAUACAGUAAAAACCUCUCUAAAGUAAUGCUCAGACUUGUGUCCAGGGGAAGGUUGAAAUGUUUCUGUGAGUUUUCUCGGCCCCUGAAAUAGGUGGAUAACCGUGGUUUACCACCAGUUGUCCCUCUUUUAAAAAAAAUUAUGGUCUCAACUUGAGACUAGUAAUGCAUAAGAAUAAACUCUCUACAUUGUGUACGUCAUAACUUUUCUUGGUCCCCUCUUAAAAAGUACGCCUCUACAUAGUAAUAAUUGUCAAUGAGUACAAAAUUAUAUUACAAAAAAAAAGUUUUAGAUGAACGGAAAUAUUUUUACUUGUUUGAGACAAUGCUUUAGUUUAUAGAGCUAAUUUCACGUCUUUAAACUUGCAGUACAUAUGUGUAAGAAAUAUAAUACUUAAUACUUAAGGAAACGUAUUUAAAAAAUACAACAUUCAUUAAUAAUAAAAUUGUUUGAUCGCAACUUUAUGACUAUAUAAUAAUGUUACUAUAUUGGCUUGUACGUCGGUACAGAUGAGAAAAUAGCAUACAAAAAUCAAAUUGUAUUUAUCGGUGCACGUAGCAUGUCGUAUUCGUCAUGAGAAUAAUUUUAUUUUCCAUAAAAAAAAAUUACACCGACACAUUAGUGGAAUCCCACUCAUCUCCUCCUCCGUCAUCAUUCGUUAGAUUGGGAAAUGCAACUUUCAGUCUUGGAUGGUUGGACCAAUCUGUUGUUUUAAAUUGUUAGGAGAAAAACCAAAUGUAUCGUUUUAAGGGUUUUUAUCCUAAAUAGUCAUUGAAAUUGACUUUCACCAAUAAGAUGAUUCUUAAAAUUAAAAAUCAGUAAAUAUAGUUCCUGAAAAUAGGUGUCGCAAAAUCAAUAUGGUUCAUCCGUUACAAUUCUGUUAAAAAAUUCGUUAAAUGCUAAUGUGGCACAUAAAUGAAUCCCAUAAGAUUUAUAGAUUUUUUUCACAAAUGGUCCCUGAAUUUGACCCACACCAUCAAGAUAGUCCAUGAAAUUGACCCACACCAUUAAUAUGGUCCAUGAAAUUGAAAAUCAAUAAAUGUAGUCCUUGAAAAUAGGUGUUUCAAAUCAAUAUGAUUCUUCCACCACAAUUAUGUAAAACAAUUUGUUAUGUGUUAAUCUGAGUUUAAUAAUUAAUUAAAAAAAUUUGUCUAAAUACCUUUUUGCACAAUGGAAUUUUUUUUUUCUUAUAGUAGGGCCUACUCCGAAUAGAGCUCUCUUCCAUAAAUUAUCAAAAGCACAAGGCUUAACCAAGGCCUAAGAAGGGGUGUUGAAAUAAUUUUCAACCAACAAUAGACACACCUCGGUUAUAACCUCAUUAUCUCAAGGCAAACCUUGUCGUUCUUUGCAUCACCAGACCACCAGGGAAGUGCCGAACAAGCUCUCCAAGAUUAAGGUUGUGAGGAUGUUGAUCGCCUAUAUGUUAACGGUAAUCUCGAUCUAGGUUCAAUUCGGUAAAAGGUGUCGAAGUGUGUAAAGAUAAAUGUAUUGAGAUUUAUUUUUAGAUAACAUAGAGUGAAUGAGGUAUAGAAAUAUGGAUUGGGAUUGGAGGUGAUUGCAAGACUGGGUUUUUGUGUUGACAAUUUUUUUAUUAAUUAUUAAAUUAUUAAGCCUAUUUGUAAUUUUUUUUAAUUUAAUUAGACUUGUGUGACCCAUUUAUGUGUCACAUUAGCACAUAACAUAAUUUUUGAAAGAAUUGUGACGGAAUGACUACAUUGAUUUGAAACAUUUAUUUGAGGGACUACAUUGAUCAAUUUUCAAUUUCAAUAACCAUUUUGAUGUCGCGGGUUAAUUUCAGGGACUAUUUUUGUAAUACCCCAUAUAUAAAAAAUGACAGUAUAUAUGUGUGUGCAUAAGUAACUAUUUUUAUGCAAUGAUUUUAUUGAGUUUCUUUAUAUGUACUAUGAGUACAAAAAACUUGUAUUUUUGGCAUGUAAGUUAGUAGGGAUUCUUUCACUACAAAAAAUUAUUUUUGUGCCUAGCUAAUACUUUUAUACUCAAAUGUCUCCAACUAGAGAGGUUUCUAUUUUUUUGGCAUCCUCAUAAUAAUUUUGUAACUUUGUCUAGUAAUUGUGUAUCUUAUAUGUAUAUAUGCAUUAGUUUGAUUUUUUAAGGUUUCUACUUACCCUUUUUGUGCCAAUAGCAACUAAGUUACCCUUGCUAGCCAUUUGGAUCUUUAAUUAGUGAAGUGUAAAAGUGUUGGAGAGCUAAGCUCCGAGAGGUGGGAAAUUUCUAGUAGAGUUAGCUUGAUUUUUUCUCCAAAUAAUGGGUGGAAGUUAGUAAUUAAUAGAAGCUAAUAAUUAGGGUGAAGAGGUGGAGUCUAUAGCAUGUGUAUGUUAGUCUAUUUGCAUGUAGAUGACAACACUUUGUAUUAGAAGUGCUUACUCAUCAAUCUAUAGGAAUCUUAAUCGUUAGGAUGAUAUUCACCACCCUAAAUAGAGGAAGAUGACAACUUAUUGGGGUUAGAACAUUUCAUGUGGCCUUUGAUGUAAGGAACAUCUUGCAUGAUAUUCAUUAGUUCAUGAUUAGCUUAACAUUUGUUGUUUUUCUAUUGGACCACAUUUCAUUCUUAAUGAUUACGACAACAAUUGUUGAUUUGUUAUCGGAACUCAUUUUAUGUCUAAUGAUGGGCACGACACUUGAUUUCUUUCUAUUGGCACACUUGUGGAGGUUUUUGGAGAGGAAGAUGUCAUGCAAUCUUUAUAAGGGAAGGAGCAAGAACCAACGGAGGACAUGGAGAAAAUAAAGGAAGAAGAAGAAAAAAAAGAAAGAAAAAUAACAACUCCAACAAAAAGUCAUCCUCCCUUUCAUAUUACCUCUUUAUUUUUCUUUUACAUAUUGUUGAGGCUUUAAGCCAUCUUUCAUUGUAUUUGUAAGUUUCUCAUAUAUAGUGAAAUACAAUGAAAGCAAACCCCAGUGGAUGUAGUCGAUUUGGCGAGCCACUUAAAUCUUGUGUUGUUUAUGCAUUUACAUUUUGAGGUCAUUGUUAUGAGAGCACUCACACUAAAUCAUAAAAAAUAAGGGGGACAAAUCCCAUAAAAUGCAUGAGAGCUUACCCAACAAAAUUGCUAUAUGGAACUCAGAUGGAGUCAUGUAUCAAUAUCACCUAGAGAGAGAUGGAGUAAAAUGGUAAAGUAAUAUUUCGCAAUCAGAUUGUUAUGUGUUAUCAAUACUAUAUUAUCCGUAAUAUACUAAAAUUUUGACUACUAUCUAUUUUGAUUAGUUUUGCAUAUUAUAUUAUAGAACGUGAUUAUUGAUAUCUAUAUUACGUUGCAUAUACAAGAUUUCAUUAGUUUAUCAGUAAUAUACAUGUGUUGUGUCAUGUGCUCACUUGUGUAAAGUGUUUGUGUUGUGAAGUUAUUCAAAGGCUGAAGUUUGCCUUGAAUAUAAAAUAAUGAAAUCUUGUAUAUGUCAGGCAUCGGGGGAAUGGCUUGAAUAUACAAUUGGGUGUCGGGGGAAGUGCAUGUAUAAUAAAGUGGAAACAGAGAGUUUAGUUGCAAAAAUUGGGUUAAGGGAUGAACGGGAGUUAACUCAUAUUCUAAGGUAUUCGGAGCCAAGUGGUAUAACCAAGAUACGGGACGUGCAUGCUUGGGUGCCUUAGGUAUGUGUUAGCGGGAUUAGAAGGGAGUGAGUACAUUUAUGCAUCUCACUUGCAUAUAUGCAUUUGAAAGAAUUUAAUUAUUGUAGUUUUUGUUGUGAAUUAAUUUGUACACUAUAGUUAUUUCCACUGUGUAUUCAAUAAAUUUUUUGUAGUAAACUCAAACGUUUAAUAUGUAAAAGUUGUUAACUAGUGUUAUAGGAUGUAUUGAGUAAUCAGCACCAAAUUUUUCCACCAUAUAUUGGUUGUAUAAUUUAUUUUUAUAACCAAGAGAUGACUCACACCUUAAUUUGUGAAUAGUCUUUAUUCGCGGAUUAGGGCGUGAUAAUUUUGAUGUCAUGGGUUAAUUUCAAGGAUUAUUUGUGAGGAAAAAAAGGACUUAUGAGGCCCAUUUAUGUGCCACAUCAGCAUUUAACUGAUUUUUUAACAUUAUUGUGACGGAAUGACCACAUUGAUUUGCGACACCUAUUUUUAGGGACUACAUUAAUUGAUUUUCAAUUUUAAAAACCAUCUUGAUGGUGAGGGUUAAUUUCAAGGAUCAUUUAUAAUAAAACCCAUUUUCUUAAUAUAUACGACCUUAUUUAUAUUAAAAGGUGAGACAUGCUUCAUAAUAGGCUAACCACAAUAAUAUGAUUUGUAAUUGUUUUUGCUAAAAAUCGAACUAAGAUCUCUUAUAAUGGGCUAACCACAACCUAAAACCUAUUAGUUAUAAAUGAAAAAAUAUCACUAAAUCGUAGUAUUAAGUGUGAUAAUACAUCAAUUUUUAUAUUUGAACUAUAAAGUGACUACUCUCAAAGCUUAUUAACCUUUUGUUAAAAUUUGUUUAAUCAUUAAUCAUAUAGCUCAAAAUUUUCAUAUUAUGAAAAUAGUAAAUUGCACUAAUAAAACAAAUCAUGACAACAAUGCAAAGCAAACAUAAUUCGCAAAUUUGAGUUUAACCGAGUUGUAUAUAAUAAUGUGUUUUGUUUUCUGUAUUGUUGUUUAAAUAAAGUUUAGACAAAUUUAAUAUCUUUGUACUCAAAAUUCUAACUGCAUGUCAUUUUUUUUAGAAAAACUAAUGAAAAAGACUUGAAAACUUGGAGUUUUAACGAUAAGGACAAAAUAAAGGGUAAAGUGAAUAAUAUCAGGAUUGAAUUUUUAAGGUAAAAAUGUAAUUUUUCGUUAAAAUGAACAAUACUAAAAGUUUUUCGUUAAAAUUCUUUUUUUUUUCCCGAUUACAUGAGAGGAAAUCAAAUAUUUUGGACUAUCUUAAAACUCUUAGUUAACACACAUUGUCUCUCUCUAGAAAUCUCUGUCUUGAUCUUUCUGUCUUGAUCUUGGAUUUUGGACUAAGUCCGAUGGUUUAGACUUUCAUAUUCACAAAUCGCAUUAAAAAAAAGAGUGUACGUUGAUUAUAUGACAACGACUUGGGUUUAGUAUAAUGGUUUUCCACCCAAUAAGCCACCACGGUUCCAUUUGCACCCCUUUCCUUGCAUUGACUGCGAUAUUGAUAAUCCACCAAACCAAUUGACGUCUGGCAUUAGUCCGUAAUUUAAGCAUUAAGUUAAGUAAACCCCAAGCCUCAAUAAAACUUUUCAAAUUUCAAUCCAAUAUAAUCAUUUCAAUUUGAAGUAAAUUUGACGACUAAAUUAAAAGAAUUAUUAUUAGCAUUUCAAAAAAAUUUUAUUUGGCACUCCUUGCAAUUGUAUUUUUCUUCGAAUUUUGAAGUAUUAAUAACAAUUUCCUUAAAUUAUUGCUCAUUUAAAUUUAUACACAUAAGAAUUUCAUGAUAUUCUAAGUUAUUGGCUUUGGAAUCGGCGACAAUUUUAACAAUUAUUCUUGAUCUCUUUUCUCUCUGUAUUUUUAUAUAUUUGUUAGUGUAAAAUAAUCGCCAUAAAACGAUGUCAUCGUUAUAAUAGUCGUCGUCAUUUUUUUACCGACGCAGACUGUUAACAAAUUUUGUUGAAUCUAAUUACUUUGUCUUGGCCCACCUUCUUUGUUUUGUUGUAGGGUACUAGAAUUCUCUCCAUACUUUCAAUAGAAAAACUAAAAUAAUCGGGCCAAGGAUUGGUAGAAUUUAGAAGGAUAUCUCUCUCUCUCGGGGUUGGCGUUCUUCCGCGUUCUCCACCCUCUCUCGUCUACAGGAAAUCUUUCUGCUUUUCUUUUCUCUUGGUUUCUUGUCUUUUCUUUUCCUUUCCUUUCUGUUUCUUUCUUUUCUAAUUGGAGGUGUUUGGAGAUCGGAGAAUGCUGGAAUAAUCCCUCAACAGCAACGCAGAGGUAUCAGAUCUGCCCAAGCAACCAAACAAAGAAGCAAACAAGGUACCUACUUGCCUCCAAUCCAAAAUAUUUGAAAAUCGUCAGCUCAGAUUUCAACAUUUCGGAUCCGGGUUCGGAUCUACUCUGCCAUUGCUAGUUUGUUUGUCGUUCUCAACCGGUAUUAGGUUAUUUUGGGUUAUUGGGUCUUUUCCGUUUUUAGAAAUCUGUUUCCCUCCCUUGUUUUCCAUUUCUAGUUCGUUCCCUGUUAAUUGUUACAGAUCCUUUGCCGGAUCUGUUGUUUCGGUUUUCAGGUGUAGAUUAUUUGAGAACAAUCGGGUCUGUGAUCUGCUUCUGGGUCGAACAUGGCGACAGGGGGAAAAUAUACUAGAGUAGAUAAUAGGAGGCCGUCCUCCGCUAGUGGUUGCUGCUCCACCGUCACCGUUGGGGUGUUUGUGGCGUUGUGCUUGGUCGGGGUUUGGAUGAUGACCUCCUCCUCUGUAGUUCCCAUUCAGAAUGUGGAUGUGCCCACGGAGGAGAGUAAGAGUGAACUCAAGGAGCAGGGCAGCAAUAACGUCGGCGUCAAGGAACAAGCGAGUGACACCAAUGCCAGGCAAUUUGAAGAUAACCCGGGUGACUUACCCGACGACGCAACCAAAGGAGACAGCAGCGAUGGUGCUGCUCAGGGUGGAGACAAGCUACAAGGGAAGUCCGAAGAGACGACUGAGGAGAAGUCUGUGGAAAAGACUCAGGAGACACCUGAGGAGAAAACCCAAGACAAGACUGAGGAGAAAAGUGAAGAAAAGAUUGAGGAGAAAAGUGAAGAAAAGAUUGAGGAGAAAUCUGAAGAUGGCGACUCUAAGGUGGAGAAUGGAGAAUUGAAUUCCGAAAAUGGAGAAAAAAAGAGCGAUGGCGGCGAAAAGGACAAGUCUGAUUCCGGUGAUAAUGAGAAGAAAUCGGAUGAUGACAGUGAGAAAGUGGAGGUAACUGAUACCAAGGAGUCAAAUGGGGAGAAAAAGGAAAAUGAGCAGGCCAAAAACCAGAGUUCAAAUGAGGUAUUUCCUUCCGUUGCUCAGUCGGAGCUAUUGAACGAGACUACAACUCAAAAUAGUUCGUGGUCAACUCAGUCGGCAGAGUCAAAGAAUGAGAAGGAGGCUCAGCGUGCUUCUGAUCAGAAGACCAGUUACAACUGGAAAGUCUGCAAUUCCACUGCUGGGCCUGAUUUCAUCCCCUGCCUUGACAAUUUGCAAGCCAUCAAGAGUCUUCGAAGUACCAAGCAUUACGAACACCGGGAGAGGCAUUGUCCCGAGGAGGCCCCCAGCUGCCUUGUUCCUCUUCCAGAAGGUUAUAGACGCCCAAUUGAGUGGCCAACAAGCAGGGAAAAGGUAUAUAACUUAGUCGAUGUAUAAAUUCAUUACCACAUUGUUUCUGUCGUUUCUGAGAUAGAUUGAUAAGGUGCAUUCUUGCAGGUAUGGUACUACAAUGUUCCCCAUACAAAGCUUGUUCAAAUUAAGGGGCAUCAGAAUUGGGUCAAAGUUACCGGUGAAUACCUCACUUUUCCCGGUGGUGGAACACAAUUCAAGCAUGGUGCUCUUCAUUAUAUUGAUUUCAUACAACAGGUGAAUACUUUUAAGCAUUUGGUUGUUUCAAAUACAUUCCACUUGUAUGACUUUGCAUGUUGGUUUGUUCUCUCCGUAAAUAUGUAUGUACGUUUUUCUUCAGAUGUCUCAGUGUGUGCAUUCAAUCCUUGUCUUCUCCCUCUCCCUAAUAUUUUUAAUCAGCUCAUGCUUUGGAGAAUAUGUCAAUCUUGCUGCAUCUAUAUCGUAUUAAUACCUAUGCAUUUAUGAUGAAGUAUAUGGAUUUCUGUGUUUCUUGUUACAGUAUAUAUGACGCUCUGGUUAGAUAUGCAGAGUUCUAAAGAAUAUCUUUUUAAGACCUAGGCAGGAAUUUCAUCUGCAGGGUGACAUAUCUUGGCAACAUAUGAAUUUCACGAGUUUUGGAUGUGAUUUACCAGUAGGAAAAAAAACUAGAAAAGACACAUCUUUCGUGUUACUGCUCAUCAAAAUUACACUAACUUGGGUUCUCUUCUCUUGCAGUCUGUUCCUGAUAUUGCCUGGGGAAAACGUUCACGUGUCAUAUUAGAUGUUGGAUGCGGAGUUGCAAGCUUUGGAGGCUUUCUUUUUGACAGAGAUGUCCUUGCAAUGUCAUUGGCCCCAAAAGAUGAGCAUGAAGCUCAAGUGCAGUUUGCACUUGAAAGAGGAAUUCCUGCCAUAUCUGCUGUGAUGGGCACAAAGAGACUUCCCUUCCCCGGCCAAGUUUUUGAUGUUGUCCACUGUGCCCGCUGCAGGGUUCCUUGGCAUAUAGAAGGUAGUCCUUGUGAAUUGAUUUACAGUGUGAUAUGAGAUCAAGCUGAGAUUGUUGUUUAAAAAUGCAGUUUCCUUAUGUGUGAAAUCAGGGGGUUGUUUGGCUGAGUUUUCGAUAACUGUCAUGCCUAGUUUAGGGUUUAGGUUGAUAACUGGAAAACGAUAAUUUUCAGUUUUCUAUAUUAUAACUUCUAAGUUGAUAACUGGAAAGAGAUUUUCAGUUUAUGGCUUAUUUUGUUUUCAAGCUUGUUUUCUUCUUUGAGCAGUUUUCAAAUUGUGCUGCAUAUUUUGCACUCGUUCAUGAUUUUAUUGAUAGAAAGCUGUUUCUGAACUGACACACCAAAGAAGCCCCUAGAUCUUGAGCCAGUCUUUUCUGACAUAGUAAGCAUAGGAAACUUAUUUGGUUAUUUCUUUUCGUUUGGAUAUUCACCAAUAAACAUGAUGUGCAGGUGGUAAGCUUCUGUUGGAGCUGAACCGAGUGUUGAGACCUGGUGGUUUCUUUGUAUGGUCUGCUACUCCAGUGUAUAAGAAGCUGGGUGAAGAUGUUGAAAUAUGGAAUGGUACAUAAUUUGAAACCAUGUCUUUGGAACUUUUGAAUUGGAGUUGUUUGAUUAAUGCUAACAAGUCUAAAAAUUUAUGGGAAUUAUCUGCAGCCAUGAAGGAACUAACCAAAUCAAUAUGCUGGGAACUGGUGUCAAUUACUAAGGAUACAGUAAAUGGAGUUGGUAUUGCUAUAUACAAAAAGCCUACUUCAAAUGAGUGCUAUGAGAAAAGAUCACAGAACGAGCCUCCUAUCUGUGCUAAGUCUGAUGAUCCAAAUGCUGCCUGGUACACAUUAUAUUCAGCUGAACCUUUUCUUUCUCUUUUAGUUUAAUGAAUCUAGUGAAACAAUUUUUCUCUCCAGACCUUUGAUUUAGUUGCCUAAAGUAUUUCUGGUUGAAUUACUAAGUCUGUUUCUCGCUUAAUGAGAUUGCUGAACUUGGAGGAGAAAGGACAUUGUUUCUGUAUACUGUAGUUCUAAAACCAUGUGAAAAUAACAUAUUAUGAUGCGUUUGGAAAAGCAAAACUAAAACCUCAUAGAAAUGGCAAUUGUGUCACUCUUGCCAAAAUUUGUUUGAUGCGAACCCAGAGAUAACUUUAAUCUAAGCUCAAUAGCUACCCUAAUCUUAAUUUUUGUUGUGUACAGGAAUGUGCCAUUACAAUCAUGCAUCCACAAAGUGCCUGUUAAUGCAACAAAACGUGGGUCUGAAUGGCCUGAACAAUGGCCGGCGAGGUUGGACAAGGCACCUUACUGGUUGUUAAGUUCCCAAGUUGGUGUUUAUGGAAAACCUGCUCCUGAGGAUUUCACUGCAGACAAUGAGCACUGGAAACAUGUGGUGACAAAGUCAUACCUGAAUGGAAUGGGGAUUAACUGGACAUCUGUUCGGAAUGUUAUGGACAUGAGAGCUGUGUACGGAGGGUAAGAAAAAUCGUUCCUUGAUUGUCAUGAAUAGUGUGUUUUGAUGCAUGGAAAACCACCAUCUUUGUUAUAAUUUGUGCUUUACUGUUUAUCUUUAUUAUUUUUCUUGACCUUGCCAAAGAAUAUGUACAAGUGAGAUGUUGAGUUAGAGGCGGCUGCUUCUUUACUUUUUUUACCUGUGACUUCUGGUUGUGCUUGCAGAUUUGCUGCCGCUUUGAAAGAUUUGAAAAUUUGGGUCAUGAAUGUGGUCUCGGUAGACUCUCCAGACACACUACCCAUAAUUUACGAGCGAGGUUUGUUUGGUAUGUAUCAUGAUUGGUGUGAGUCAUUUAACACCUAUCCAAGGUCUUAUGAUCUUCUCCAUGCCGACCAUCUGUUUUCCAAGCUUAAGAAGAGGUAUGCAUACUAUUCCAUUUCUCAGAUUCUCUGUCCGCGGCAAAGCAUUUGUUAUUUCAUUCACCAAUUCAUUUCGCUGUCUAACUUUGGAAUGGCUUAUGAAUGACAGGUGCAAUUUAGUGGCUGUAGUUGCGGAGGUUGAUCGAAUCCUUCGACCAGAGGGAAAGCUUAUCGUGCGAGACGAUGUUGAGACUAUUUACGAGCUGGAGAACAUGGCGAGGUCGAUGCAGUGGGAGGUUAGCCUGACGUAUUCGAAGGACAAGGAGGGAUUGCUUUGUGUGCAGAAGUCCAUGUGGCGGCCCAAAGAGUCGGAGACACUCAAGUUUGCAAUUGCUUAAGCGUGGUGGUCGGAAGUCGUGGUGGUCGGCAGUGGCUGCUGGCGUUGCUGAGGAUAUAAUAGUUACCCAUUUAUAUUUUGUUUUGGUUGCUAAUUGAAAUUCAUGGUUAUAUUAGCCUUUUGUUUCGUUUUAGUUAGGGCUUGUAGUCUGUUCAUUUUUUUUGUUUACAAUAUUUUGUUUUCGUUGUCGGGAGAUCGGUGUUUGGAAUUCCACUGUAAUAUUACCGUACUGGUUAUUGAUGGAAGAAAAACCAAACUAUUGGUUUAUGUAAUAUCUGAGGAUUUCGAUUCUAUUGUUGUGCAGUGCUUUUGCUCUUCUUGGAGGAGAGAUUUUUAAGUGCCGGGAACACGGUCAGUAGAUUGGGUAUAUUGGUUGAAAUUAAAAAAAACAAAAAAAAAUCAAACCAUUGUGUUAUGACAUUUGAUGUAUCGAGCAAUGUUUUCAGCUUAUUGAAAAAUUUCUCUACUCAGAGGUACUCUCAGCCUCUUUUAUUUAGUGAUACGGGUACAUAAUUAGUAAUUAAUCCUAGUAUGUUUUCCCAUAAUAUGAUUGGUUCAUAAUUUAUUUUAUGAAAAUAAAAGUUAGAAGUUCUAAGCUCAACUUUACUUUUCGUUUUAUUUAUAAAAAUAAAUAAAUGUAAGAGCAUGACUUGCUAGGAUAGGAGCUAGCAUUUUAAGCUUGAUAUACCGUGUGAUCGAUGCCCUUAUAAUUCCUUGUGUCUAGACCCUAGUGGGUGUCGGAAAUUGAAUUAGAGUCUUAUCUGCAAGACAAAACUAGAUGGUGGUCAAGUUGACGUGAGAGCCAUUUUAUAGUGUUAAAAAAAACAAAAUUCAGAGGUGAAACCUUGUAGCAAUGGGAAAUGCCUCGCAACAUAAAUGUUUUUAUGGUCACUUAUUGACUAGUCACCCAUCUGAUGAUCGAAAAAUGUUUUUAAGGUUUUAAUUUUGAUCUUUGAUAUCAAUUUCAAUCAAAUUUAAGGACGGAUGAUUAUAAAUUUUUAAUCACCGAGUGACCAAGAGAACAAGACUCUGCCACGUAAUUAGGGAGUGAAAUUUAUUGAGGGGAAAGGGUUGCUUAGAUUAGGUGAAGACAGUUAAUUAGCAGAUGUUGACUCCGGGGAGAUAGAGCGAGUCCCUGGGAUUUUUAAUUGCUCAAAAUCAACCAAAGCUAACACUCCCUCUUCACCUGCCUAUUUUUCUGCCCUCUUUUUUCCUUUGUUUUGUUUCUCCUUUUUUCUUUCUAUUUUUCUGCGCUCUUUUUUCCUUUGUUUUGUUUUAGCCCAUUCAAAAACCAAAAUCCUCCAAAAGCUCUCUCUCUCUCUCUCUCUCUAUCUCUCUCUCUCUCACCAAUCAAUCACUAAUAUGAAAAGGGAAACGGAUGAUGAGAGGCUAUAUGUGCCAAGUGGAGGAGGAGGAAGCCCAGAAACCCCAUGCAGUUUAAAGAGCAGUACUACUGCUACUGCAUGUGCAAGUGCUAGUAACAACAACAACAAUCACCAACACCACAACCACCACAACAAAGAACAAGAUAGGUUCCUUCCCAUCGCCAACGUCGGUCGCAUUAUGAAGAAAGUGAUUCCGGGCAACGGAAAAAUCUCAAAAGAUGCAAAGGAAACUGUCCAAGAAUGCGUCUCCGAGUUCAUCAGCUUCGUUACAGGAGAAGCAUCCGACAAAUGCCAAAGAGAAAAGCGCAAGACCAUCAACGGCGAGGACAUCAUUUGGGCUAUCACAACGCUCGGGUUCGAGGAUUAUGUACAUCCAUUAAAAUCGUACCUCCAUAAAUAUAGAGAUCUCGAAGGAGAAAAGCUAAACGUUCCAAAGCAACAAAGAUCGGAGCAAAGGCUGCACCAGCAACAACAACAACCAGAUCAACACGAUCAUCACAACCAAACUUUACUACCUUACGAUAAUAAUAGUAGUAGCAGUGUAUAUUCUUCGACGACGAAUGUCAUAUCUCAGCCGUCAUUCAUGGCUGAUCAUCAUCAGGCCUUUUCUUUGCCUUUCUCCCCAAGUUCAAUUCAAAAACAGUUUCAGCCACAACAGGAUCAGAUUGAUUCAGUGGGGCAUUGGUAAGAAGAUAUUCAAUCGGGCCUUUUCUCUUCGUUGUUGCUUGAGUUUCCCCGGCCUACCUACCCUCCUUAUACAUACACAUAUAUACAUAUAUAUAUAUAUAUAUAUAUAUCUAUAUCGUGCUAAUCAAUACAAAUGUAAUUUAAUUAAUGUUGUUGACAAUAUAUAUAAACACUUACGUAUGAACUCAACUCAACCUUGAUUGUUUGGAUCAUAAGGAAGUAAAAGUGUGUAUUUAAUUGGUAAGAGUUUAUGUCUUAGGGUUUUCUUGUAGAUAGGAUUUGGUUUAUUUCCUAUAAGGAUUAAUUAGGGUUUGUUUGCACCAUAUCAUAUCAACCACAAAACCAUCAAGUACCUGUCAAUUAUGAAGCACCAUGAAUGCACCGAAGUGUCUCCUACUAAGGCAUUCUUGCCGAAGCACAUGAACCAACCCCGCAACAAGUGGGAGCCAGCCACAACACGCAACAGUCAUGUACCCUUUAACUAUUCCCAUAACUAAUCAUAUGCGACAAGUGACAACAUUAUAUUAGCUACAUUCAAACCCACAUUGGAAAAGUCAAAAAAGUUCCACCAACUUGCCUUUUUAAAAUGGUAAUCUCUACUUCCUUCUAAAGGUAAUUGUUAUUACUAUUCAAAACUAUAUUUACCAUUAAACUCUGCCACAUGGUGUUUUAAACACAUAUUGCUAACUCAAGCAUCGAAGGCUCUUAGGUCGGUACCACACUGAUACCCUUCGAUACUUAUUCUACCUUCCAUGCAAGUUGCUUCUCCCUCCUACCCUUAACAACUCGAUUUUGUGCAUCAACAUAAUUAGUUGUUUAUAAACAUAACGUUUUGAAAAGUAAGUUUAAUAACAUGUAUUCUUUUAGAAGUAUGGUGUUUUGACCAAUAUUGUAGUGUUCUUUAUUUUUGUUUGAUUGUUGGAUUGUGUUUGUUUGAAUUGAAAGUAACUGAUUGAACUGACUAUUAUGAUGUCUUCAAUUUUGUUUUGGGAAAUUUUAUUUGAACUCAUAUAACCUCUUUCUAAACCUAACUUAUUAUUUACACCCAUAUAGUUUUUAAUUAAAUUAUCAAUAUCUCUUUAAACCCAAUUUUACUACCUAAACUACCCUCACAAACCUAAUAUAAUAUGCAAAUUUAUCUUUACACCCAUUUUAAAAAUAAAAAUCCAAAAUCAAUGUUCUACAACUUGUUUUCCACAACUCGUUGAUUAAGAGUGUAAUGUCCAUACAUAUAUGGAGUCGUGUUUGAUGAAUUGGUCAAACAAGCAAUCUAGAACCGGGAAGUGAUGUGAGCAGGCAAGAUUAAAUGAAGUAAUUAACUCAUAUGUUAUGGUGUUUUUGUGCUUAUUUGAGAUUGAAAUGUUAAACCAAUAUGUUUAUUUCUCUUACAAUAUAAAUCGAGUUGGUUUUAAUCCUUGUGUGCUUUAUCUGAAUUGCAUUCCCAUUGUUUUUAUCCCAUUGCCGCUUCAUAAACAAAUGCAGUAGCGUUUUUCAAAUGCUUUAAUCUCAAGUUUUUUCCUCGGUUUUAAGAUUAGGUGUAUUGGGUGGUGGAAUUGUAAUCUGUAAAUCCAUAUUCUUAGGCAUCACUUGGGUUUUAGCCACAGUAAUUCAAAUCUGCAUGAAUUAGAAGACUCAAAAGCAUUUUAUGCAUACGCAUAAACUAGUAAUAAUAAUUAACUUAGGCUCUCCGUUGUCAUUGGAACCGGAGGUGAGUAUAUUGAUUAGUGGGUUUAUUGAUAAAUUUUAGUUUCAUUUCUGAUUUCAUCUUGUGUUUUAUGGUAAUUAUACAAUAGGGUAAAACUGAUCAUUCACAUUUUAAAUUUAAGUUGGGUGUAGAGUGAGGUUAUAUGCGUUCAAAUAAAAUUUUCCUUUUGUUUUAUCUUGGACCUAUUUCUUUACAUGUUUGUAUCGCAAUUAAUCGAUCUAUUUGGUGCUAGUGGCGCUAACAUUCAAUCUAUGUGACCUAAACCAUACGACCACUUACUAUCAUUUCAUAUUUCUAAAUUGACUCAGCAGUUGGUGCUAUUGACACAAUAUACUUGUUAGAACAACUGUGCCCGGUUUAGUUCUUUGACCAAAGUUGACAGUUUUUUUUACGGUUUAUUCGUUGUGAUUCAGUUUGGUUUCCCGAUUCACGGAUUUUUAUGCUCACUCCUAAAUACAACUAGAUAAAAAUCACACAUUAUAUGUGUGUUUAAAUACAUGAUAAUUUAAAAAAGAAAUUGAAAUAAAAAUAAAAAAAA